rnacentral:misc_RNA from 1 species
GUCUCAAACUAAUUGAACAAAAAUAUAUUUACAUCACUUGCUAGAAAAAAUUCCAACUUGGACAACAUGUAUAAUCAAAACAUUGAAAAUCCCGGCAUUGCAGGAACUGUGGAAAACACAUCUGUGGGAGUAACUAGAGGACCAUAAAUAUCACCCAAUUUUUAGAGUGAUCCAUCACUAAUCCUAAUAAAUUUGCUGCAACAAACUAAAAUAAUGCAUCAAAAGUAAAUGAUGGCGAGGGAUUAUCAUGGUAGUUUAAGAUCCAGCAGUCCAUUCUUACCGAUAACAAAUCCAUCUGCAAGAAGAAAACCCACCAAGUUCGAAGACAAAUAGAUGAUAAAACCAAUGUAUCUGAUUAUUUUUGGUAAAAAAAGCCUUCAUCAUAUGUAAGAAAGUUUAUCACAUGUGACGCCACCGGAGCCCAACAUAUAAGAAGGCUUCAACAGAUAGCAACAUUCGAAUCUCCGUUCUUAAUUGACAAUCAUCAGGCUUGUACCAAAAGAAAAGGUAAAAAAUAGCUGCAAAAAGAUGAUAAUGGAGGAAGUAAAAAAAUAUCCCACACGAGAGAGCAACAGAUCAAACUAAAAU